rnacentral:rRNA from 1 species
AGAUAAGCCAUGCAUGUCUAAGUAUAAGCAAUUAUACCGCGAAACUGCGAAUGGCUCAUUAAAUCAGUUAUCGUUUAUUUGAUAGUACCUUACUACUUGGAUAACCGUGGUAAUUCUAGAGCUAAUACAUGCUAAAAACCCCGACUUCGGAAGGGGUGUAUUUAUUAGAUUAAAAACCAAUGCCCUUCGGGGCUCUCUGGUGAUUCAUAAUAACUUCUCGAAUCGCACGGCCUUGCGCCGGCGAUGGUUCAUUCAAAUUUCUGCCCUAUCAACUUUCGACGGCUGGGUCUUGGCCAGCCAUGGUGACAACGGGUAACGGAGGGUUAGGGCUCGACCCCGGAGAAGGAGCCUGAGAAACGGCUACUACAUCCAAGGAAGGCAGCAGGCGCGCAAAUUACCCAAUCCCGACUCGGGGAGGUAGUGACAAUAAAUACUGAUACAGGGCUCUUUUGGGUCUUGUAAUUGGAAUGAGUACAAUUUAAAUCCCUUAACGAGGAACAAUUGGAGGGCAAGUCUGGUGCCAGCAGCCGCGGUAAUUCCAGCUCCAAUAGCGUAUAUUAAAGUUGUUGCAGUUAAAAAGCUCGUAGUUGAACCUUGGGCCUGGCUGGCCGGUCCGCCUCACCGCGUGCACUGGUCCGGCCGGGCCUUUCCCUCUGGGGAACCGCAUGCCCUUCACUGGGUGUGUCGGGGAACCAGGACUUUUACUUUGAACAAAUUAGAUCGCUUAAAGAAGGGCUAUGCUCGAAUA